rnacentral:rRNA from 1 species
GCCUACGGGAGGCAGCAGUGGGGAAUCUUGCACAAUGGGGGAAACCCUGAUGCAGCGACGCCGCGUGAGUGAUGAAGCCCUUCGGGGUGUAAAGCUCUUUCGGCAGGGACGAUAAUGACGGUACCUGCAGAAGAAGCUGCGGCUAACUACGUGCCAGCAGCCGCGGUAAUACGUAGGCAGCAAGCGUUGUUCGGAAUUACUGGGCGUAAAGAGUGCGUAGGCGGUUUGGCAAGUUUGGUGUGAAAUCUCCCGGCUUAACUGGGAGGGUGCGCCGAAAACUGUCAGGCUAGAGUGUGGGAGAGGAAAGUGGAAUUCCUGGUGUAGCGGUGAAAUGCGUAGAUAUCAGGAGGAACACCUGCGGUGUAGACGGCUUUCUGGACCACUACUGACGCUGAGGCACGAAAGCGUGGGGAGCAAACAGGAUUAGAUACCCUGGUAGUCCACGCCCUAAACGAUGCAGACUUGGUGUUGGCCCUUCAUUGGGUCAGUGCCGAAGCUAACGCGGUAAGUCUGCCGCCUGGGGAGUACGGUCGCAAGGCU